rnacentral:tRNA from 1 species
GCCUCGUUGGCUCAGCCCGGUAGAGCGAGUGACUUGUAAUCACUAGGUCGCGUGGCCGCUAGGCCAAAGCA